rnacentral:lncRNA from 1 species
CCAAUGGCAAUAGUUUACUGUUACAAACCUUUAUUCAUACAUGAUGUAUAAGCUCUAUCAUGGCAACCAAGUAUACUGUGAUGAAAUAGGUAACUGUCAAGUAUACUACAUGUCUCAACCCUAUGCUAUAAGCAUGUAAAUGUAAUCCAACUACUAAACCUAUCUAGUAGUGAUUGUUCAUAUACAACACCGUGUCGAUUUCCAUUUCCAAUUAAGGACCUACCCAAGGUAGUCCAGCUUGUGCCGCCUAAGUGCCUGUGGUAGCCCAACAUCCCUACUCUUGGAAUGUGUCUGUCCCACUCGACCCCGUAGGCUUCUCAAUACCGCACGAGCGAACAUAAGUCGCGUAGGCCAACUCCGGAGUGCCGGCUUGUAGGGAGCGACCCUCACAAGCAUGUGCGAAUGAGCACAAAUGGCAAGCAAGCAAGGUCAAAGUCUCAAGUACUCUACUCUCAUGCCUCUCACAUGGCACGGCCACUAGCAUCCCAAGGGUCUAGUCCAAAGUCUCAAGGUGACGCUCCAACGCACACUCUCGCUUAGUGCCUCUUUAUGACACUUAAGCAUCACAAUUGAUCAUGCCCAAUUCAUGUCCCAUAUUCCAAUUAACUAGGUUCACUUUAACCCGGGCCCCAUGCCUCUUUAUGACAUUGGCCCAAUCUCAAAUAGUCCAAGUUCUCAAGCCUUCUCUAGGCUUCUAAAAUUUCUAAUGUCACCAUUGGCAUAUAGGUUAAUGCAUGAAAGCAAGG